rnacentral:rRNA from 1 species
UGGGGAAUAUUGCACAAUGGGCGAAAGCCUGAUGCAGCAACGCCGCGUGAGUGAUGAAGGUCUUCGGAUUGUAAAGCUCUGUCUUUUGGGACGAUAAUGACGGUACCAAAGGAGGAAGCCACGGCUAACUACGUGCCAGCAGCCGCGGUAAUACGUAGGUGGCGAGCGUUGUCCGGAUUUACUGGGCGUAAAAGGUGCGUAGGCGGAUGUUUAAGUGAGAUGUGAAAUACCCGGGCUUAACUUGGGUGCUGCAUUUCAAACUGGAUAUCUAGAGUGCAGGAGAGGAGAAUGGAAUUCCUAGUGUAGCGGUGAAAUGCGUAGAGAUUAGGAAGAACACCAGUGGCGAAGGCGAUUCUCUGGACUGUAACUGACGCUGAGGCACGAAAGCGUGGGUAGCAAACAGGAUUAGAUACCCUGGUAGUCCACGCCGUAAACGAUGAGUACUAGGUGUAGGAGGUAUCGACCCCUUCUGUGCCGCAGUAAACACAUUAAGUACUCCGCCUGGGAAGUACGAUCGCAAGAUUAAAACUCU